GCUCCGUAGGUGAACCUGCGGAGGGAUCAUUAAAAAAAGAGUUGCGAGACUCGGAAACCAUCGCGAACCUACCCCAGUAUGCUUCGGCGGGCGGCCCCAGGCGGGGCCGCAGCCCGGGGGGGCGCCCGCCGGAGGACCGCAAGACCCUGUUUUCAUAGCGUCUCUCUGAGUGGAAUAGCAAAAUGAGUCAAAACCUUCAACAACGGAUCUCUUGGUUCUG
rnacentral:misc_RNA from 1 species